UACGAAGGGGGCUAGCGUUGUCCGGAAUUAUUGGGCGUAAAGAGCUCGUAGGCGGUUUGUCGCGUCUGCUGUGAAAACCUAAGGCUCAACCUUGGGCUUGCAGUGGGUACGGGCAGACUAGAGUGCGGUAGGGGGUGACUGGAAUUCCUGGUGUAGCGGUGGAAUGCGCAGAUAUCAGGAGGAACACCGAUGGCGAAGGCGGCUCACUGGCUCGGUACUGACGGUGGAGGUGCGAAAAGCGUGGGGGAGCAAAACAGG
rnacentral:rRNA from 1 species